rnacentral:rRNA from 1 species
UACAGAGGGGGCAAGCGUUAUUCGGAAUUAUUGGGCGUAAAGGGCGCGUAGGCGGCCUGGCAAGUGGAUGGUGAAAUCCCUCGGCUUAACCGAGGAACUGCCAUCCAGACUGCUUGGCUUGAGACCGGGAGAGGUGAGUGGAAUUCCCAGUGUAGCGGUGAAAUGCGUAGAUAUUGGGAGGAACACCAGUGGCGAAGGCGGCUCUUUGGUCUGUAACUGACGCUGAGGCGCGAAAGCGUGGGGAGCGAACAGG